UGCUGGAGUUGCUGUGGUAAGGACGCUCUCACUCGCCUGCCUGCACACUUGCCUGCUCGACACCCUUGCUUCUACGCCUAAAAACGAUCAGUGAGGAACUCUGUGCCCUGGCUGCUGCCCCCUCUGCGUAUUGUUACGCCCACUGCCCUACCGACUGACCUGACAGUCACUUGGCUCCGUAAUACAUAUGCACCGAAGGAGUACUGAAGCGACAGUAACUUAAUAAAGGAAUAGAUGGCGCCACGAGCAGAUGGCACCACUAUAAACACUUGACUGCGCCACAAGUCUUAGACCGACCACCAGGCCCAACCAAGAA